rnacentral:rRNA from 1 species
ACGCUCGACCCUACGGAGGCAGCAGUGGGGAAUAUUGCACAAUGGGGGAAACCCUGAUGCAGCAACGCCGCGUGAAGGAAGACGGUUUUCGGAUUGUAAACUUCUGUUCUUAGUGAAGAUAGUGACGGUAGCUAAGGAGCAAGCCACGGCUAACUACGUGUCAGCAGCCGCGGUAAUCUGAGCGGGCUGGCAAGGC